rnacentral:misc_RNA from 1 species
UCCGGCUUGUCACCGGCAGUUUCUUCAGAGUCCCCGACAUUACUCGCUGGCAACAUAGGACGAGGGUUGCGCUCGUUGCGGGACUUAACCCAACAUCUCACGACACGAGCUGACGACAGCCAUGCACCACCUGUGCAGAGCCCUUGCGGACCCGACAUCUCUGCCGGAUUUCUCUGCAUGUCAAGCCUUGGUAAGGUUCUUCGCGUUGCGUCGAAUUAAGCCACAUGCUCCGCCGCUUGUGCGGGCCCCCGUCAAUUCCUUUGAAUUUUAGCCUUGCGGCCGUACUCCCCAGGCGGGGCGCUUAAUGCGUUAGCUGCGGCACGGAGGGAGUGGAAGACCCCCCACACCUAGCGCCCAACGUUUACGGCGUGGACUAC